CCAACUCCAACCUGCAUAGGGGAAACACUUCCAUGCCCGGUAAUACCUGACUUUUACACUCGACAAAAGUUUCUACAAGAGCCUCCAGAGAGGAGGUGGAGAGCCCGACUGGGGCAAGGAAGACGCGGGAUCUGCAGUUCAUGAAUUGGGAACGGCUGGUCUGCAAGUCAGACAAGCGUUUUGAAGAGCAGUACAAAGCAAAAGGUUUGUUUAGUCACAGACACACAGGAACAAGGAAGAUAUACUAGGCAAAUUUUGGAUUGACUAGCAGAUAAGACAUAUCCACAUCACUGCCUGGUAUCCUGCUCUGGAGGAUGUGAGCAGACUGUUUACAAAAGGGUAGGACCACCACUUGUCACAACUGUACCAAUGAGCAACAUCUUGAUAAACAGAAAAUAUUGAAAUUGUCAAGGAUUUCAUUUUGUUGGAUCUAAAAUCAACACCCAUGGAAGCUGCAGUCAAGAGAUCAAACAACGUAU